GAUGAACGCUGGCGGCGUGCCUAAUACAUGCAAGUCGAGCGAACAGACGAGGAGCUUGCUCCUCUUACGUUAGCGUCGGACGGGUGAGUAACACGUGGAUAACCUACCUAUAAGACUGGGAUAACUUCGUGAAACCGGAGCUAAUACCGGAUUAUAUAUUGAACCGCAUGGUUCAAUAGUUAAAGACGGUUUUGCUGUCACUUAUAGAUGGUUCCGCGCCGCAUUAGCUAGUUGGUAAGGUAACGGCUUACCAAGGCAACGAUGCGUAGCCGACCUGAGAGGGUGAUCGGCCACACUGGAACUGAGACACGGUCCAGACUCCUACGGGAGGCAGCAGUAGGGAAUCUUCCGCAAUGGGCGAAAGCCUGACGGAGCAACGCCGCGUGAGUGAUGAAGGUCUUCGGAUCGUAAAACUCUGUUAUUAGGGAAGAACAAAUGUGUAAGUAACUAUGCACGUCUUGACGGUACCUAAUCAGAAAGCCACGGCUAACUACGUG
rnacentral:rRNA from 1 species